rnacentral:rRNA from 1 species
GACGAACGCUGGCGGCGUGCUUAACACAUGCAAGUCGAGCGGAGCGGCGAACGGGUGAGUAACGCGUGAGUAACUGCCCCCCUCUCUGGGAUAACAGAUGGAAACGGCUGCUAAUACCGGAUAGUGGGGGAUGACUCGCGUCCUAUCGGCUUGUUGGUGGGGUAGUGGCCUACCAAGGCGACGACGGGUAGCCGGCCUGGGAGGGCGACCGGCCACAUUGGGCUGAGGUACGGCCCAGACUCCUACGGGAGGCAACGGUGGCGAAUAUUGCGCAAUGGGGGAGCGCCUGUUGCAGCAACGCCGCGGGCGGAAGGACGGCCUUCGGGUUGUAAACCGCUUUCAGCCAUGACGCGGUAGUGGCAGAAGAAGCACCGGCUAACUACGUGCCAGCAGCCGCGGUAAUAC